rnacentral:rRNA from 1 species
UACAGAGGUCUCAAGCGUUGUUCGGAUUCAUUGGGCGUAAAGGGUGCGUAGGCGGCGCGGUAAGUCGGGUGUGAAAUCUCGGAGCUUAACUCCGAAACUGCAUUCGAUACUGCCGUGCUUGAGGACUGGAGAGGAGACUGGAAUUUACGGUGUAGCGGUGAAAUGCGUAGAUAUCGUAAGGAAGACCAGUGGCGAAGGCGGGUCUCUGGACAGUUCCUGACGCUGAGGCACGAAGGUCAGGGGAGCAAACGGGAUUAGAGUACCCCG